AAUGUCCGUCCGUCUGUCUAUCUGUCUGUCUGUAUGCUACCUACCUUUUCACGGCCCAACACUGUAACCUAUUCUGACGCAAUUUGGUUGCCUGCAAAUGAGCGG